rnacentral:rRNA from 1 species
GACGAACGCUGUCGGCGUGCUUAACACAUGCAAGUCGAACGGAAAGGCCCUGCUUUUGUGGGGUGCUCGAGUGGCGAACGGGUGAGUAACACGUGAGUAACCUGCCCUUGACUUUGGGAUAACUUCAGGAAACUGGGGCUAAUACCGGAUAGGAGCUCCUGCUGCAUGGUGGGGGUUGGAAAGUUUCGGCGGUUGGGGAUGGACUCGCGGCUUAUCAGCUUGUUGGUGGGGUAGUGGCUUACCAAGGCUUUGACGGGUAGCCGGCCUGAGAGGGUGACCGGCCACAUUGGGACUGAGAUACGGCCCAGACUCCUACGGGAGGCAGCAGUGGGGAAUAUUGCACAAUGGGCGGAAGCCUGAUGCAGCAACGCCGCGUGCGGGAUGACGGCCUUCGGGUUGUAAACCGCUUUCGCCUGUGACGAAGCGUGAGUGACGGUAAUGGGUAAAGAAGCACCGGCUAAUUACGUGCCAGCAGCCGCGGUGAUACGUAGGGUGCGAGCGUUGUCCGGAUUUAUUGGGCGUAAAGGGCUCGUAGGUGGUUGAUCGCGUCGGAAGUGUAAUCUUGGGGCUUAACCCUGAGCGUGCUUUCGAUACGGGUUGACUUGAGGAAGGUAGGGGAGAAUGGAAUUCCUGGUGGAGCGGUGGAAUGCGCAGAUAUCAGGAGGAACACCAGUGGCGAAGGCGGUUCUCUGGGCCUUUCCUGACGCUGAGGAGCGAAAGCGUGGGGAGCGAACAGGCUUAGAUACCCUGGUAGUCCACGCUGUAAACGGUGGGUACUAGGUGUGGGGUCCAUUCCACGGGUUCCGUGCCGUAGCUAACGCUUUAAGUACCCCGCCUGGGGAGUACGGCCGCAAGGCUAAAACUCAAAGGAAUUGACGGGGCCCCGCACAAGCGGCGGAGCAUGCGGAUUAAUUCGAUGCAACGCGUAGAACCUUACCUGGGUUUGACAUGGAUCGGGAGUGCUCAGAGAUGGGUGUGCCUCUUUUGGGGUCGGUUCACAGGUGGUGCAUGGCUGUCGUCAGCUCGUGUCGUGAGAUGUUGGGUUAAGUCCCGCAACGAGCGCAACCCUUGUUCACUGUUGCCAGCACGUUAUGGUGGGGACUCAGUGGAGACCGCCGGGGUCAACUCGGAGGAAGGUGGGGAUGACGUCAAGUCAUCAUGCCCCUUAUGUCCAGGGCUUCACGCAUGCUACAAUGGCUGGUACAGAGAGUGGCGAGCCUGUGAGGGUGAGCGAAUCUCGGAAAGCCGGUCUCAGUUCGGAUUGGGGUCUGCAACUCGACCUCAUGAAGUCGGAGUCGCUAGUAAUCGCAGAUCAGCAACGCUGCGGUGAAUACGUUCCCGGGGCU